UACGUAGGGGGCGAGCGUUGUCCGGAAUCAUUGGGCGUAAAGAGCUCGUAGGUGGUCUGUUACGUCUGCUGUGAAAUCCUAGGGCUUAACCCUGGGCCUGCAGUGGAUACGGGCAGACUAGAGGUAGGUAGGGGAGAAUGGAAUUCCCGGUGUAGCGGUGAAAUGCGCAGAUAUCGGGAGGAACACCGGUGGCGAAGGCGGUUCUCUGGGCCUUACCUGACACUGAGGAGCGAAAGCGUGGGGAGCGAACAGG
rnacentral:rRNA from 1 species